UCCAAGGAAAUGUCAUUCAUCAGUGCCCCAUCUCUGGAGGAAAAUGUGCUGUACAGGGUCUAAUCUGUAAACUAUGGGAAGUACUCUGAGUUAUCAGGAAUGACACAUUUCUAGUAGACAAUGGACACUGGACUGGAGUAGUGUAGAGGGAAAAUCAGCAAUUCUCUGCAAGUUCUGUUUCCCAGAAAAAACCCUCACUGUCACAGGAGCAAGUGGCAUUGUAAUCUGUGUGGUGUUACAGCUGGAACAUAGUCUCACACAUCCCAGUUUUACACCUGAAAUCAAAAUACCUGGGGUUAGUUCUGUUCUUCAGAUUUCCCACUUGAAUUUUCUAAAUGAGAAAAUUCCCCUGCAUCUCUUAGUGUGCUUAAAAUCAGAGUUCCCGGGGAUGAAUGUAAAACUGAGCCUAAGAGACGUUCAUAGGAAACACUUUUCCUCUCAGAAACUCCUCUCCAUUUCUCCUGCAGGUCUCUAGGAAGCCCACCUGCCCAGAGGACUUUGUGCCCAUGAGCAGCUUCCCCAGCAAGUGCAGGCCUGUUAUCCAGGGCUGGGAGCAGAGGCUGUGCAGGCAGGCUCUUGCAGGCAGAGCUCUUGCACAGCAAUGGCUAUGAUUCCUUGUGCGAGAAUAGAAUUUUCAUUCCAUCUCAUUCUCUCUCUUCCUACCAUAAAACAACAAUCUUCUGUGAUUGUGGUACAGGAGGGCUCUCUUGGGGCUGGACACAGAUGCCUGCCUGUCGGGAAUGUGCUACACUUGCCUAGAUUUAGCGUUUCCUGUGUUCAUCCUCUAGGAUAGGAACCCCACCCUUUCUACAUUUGCAGAGAAGGGCACAGACAUGUGGUGGCAGGGGCUUGUCCCCCGGCACCUGUUGCUCACAUGCUGUAGGCUGUUCCCAGUGGGAGGGUGGUGGGCACCAGUGCUGCGCUUGCGGAACCUGUUUGGGGGAGGGCCAGGUGCUGACACCUGAUAACUCUGUUUCAGCUUUGGCUGGUGCUGGUCUUUUGUCUGUCAUAGAAGUAUCCCUUUCCUUUCUGUUCUUGAAGAUCCAUAUGGAUGCAGGAAGACCUCCUUCUUUCCCAAGACCACCCUGCAUGCCCUGCCCGAUGGGCUGCCCUCCAUCACCAUUUGUCAUCUAUGGGCCACGUCCUCCUGCUCCAUCCUGGUGUUCUCACUCUCCAUUCGCCCCUCCACCAUUUGGUAAGGUGACCUCUAGUGGAGGAGGCCACUGAAAAAGCAUCAUCACCUUUUUUCUUGUUAAUGGUAGGGGAAGAUGUGGAGGUGGUUCUGUAGGGUUUGCAAUACAAGGCUGAGAAAUUUGUAACUUUGUUGUGUUGCCCAGGAUGUGCACAGAAUGGGCUGUGUCCUUUCCCAACAGUGCAUCAGACAGCAGGUGCCUCUAGCAGAGAAGGAAAGGGAGUUUUUAGAGAAAGGCAGAUACAGCAGGCGUGUAGACGUGCACUGAACAGGAGCCACGUACUGGGCUGCCUGAGGGGUGAGGCUCACUCUGAACUUGAGGAGGUAUCAUGUCCUAGGGUAGAGAGAGACAAGUCCAUUAAAUGACACAGAGGCUGUGACACCAUAGGAGAAGCAGUGUAGUGGGCCCUGGAGGAGCAGAGAGGGCAACGUGAGUGUUAUGGGAAUGAAGGGGAGGUUGCAGGUGAGGAGGCAGGCUACUGAGCGCUGGGGAGAGGGCUGGACUGGCAUUGAGCUGGAGGCUGAUCCUGGAGGCAUGUAGGCACUCCAGCAGGAUCAGAGAGCAGUGAGGUCCCACAGAGCCACUGUGCAUGUUCAUGUGAUACUGUGUGAACAGAGCCCUUAUCCUCAUCAAAUGUCAUUGCUGCCAUGAAGCCCUGAACUCACCAUCUGCACACAGAUCAAGCUACUCCCCUAUUUCUGGAGGUCUGGAUCUGUAGGAAGCAAGGCCCUGCAGACCUGGGAAGUGCCUCUCGGCUGUCUCACACCGCUCUCUCUGCCCAAGCGUGGUGUUCCCUCUGGGGCGGGAGGUGGACACGGGCCCUAGCUUAAAAGAGCAGCUGCCGUGGCCUCGGCCAAGUCAGACUUGGUGGGGAAAAAGUUGAUCAGGAGCCAGCCUGGGGGACCCUCCCACCUCACCCCCGCCUCCCUUAACCAUCUCCCUGCUGUCAGCCUGGCUUCUCCGCUGCUUACCGCCCACACCCCGAUUCUGGGCCUGCCUUCCUGCUGCCUCAGCCGAACGCCAGGUUUCAGUGGGGCCUUUGGGGCCUCAGCUUUGUUAUCUGUAGAACAGGGAGGCUGCUGGUUAUCGGAGUCUUUGUGAGGAAGGUAAGAGUCAGUAAUACCGUGUCUUGCAACAUGGCUGGACGUGUGGGCCACUCAUGUGUGGGUCCUUGAGUUUUGCCUUCCCACUGUUGAAAUUAAAGUAUCUCCACACAGAACAUCCUCAAAAGGUGUUUAUUGAAGUACAUUAACUUAAACUGUGUUCCAUUAGCUGUUUCCCACAGAUUUUCAAUCCCUGUUUCAACAGGUAAGGCGAAGACCUCUCUCCCUUGUGUUAAAAUUCAGGUCCUACCAGUUAGAAUAGGCAAAGAAUUAAGGGAAUGUGUGAGUCCCGAGAUGUGUGUCUGAAGGCAAUGGUUCUCCAUUGCAUGUAGACAUGCAGAUGCAGCCACACACUCAAGGCUUUUAUCAGGGGCCCAAGAUGUAGGAGACAAAAGACAGAUGGGAGAAAGUAAGGUCACAUUCCUAUAAACCAAAUUUCUUUAAAUUACAGGACUAUCGGUUUAAAAUGUGAAGAGGACCCUGAGCUGGGUGACCAACAGGCUGUGGUGAUGAUACAUUUAGAAAAGUGUCAGAUCUACAUUAUGGUCUGAACAUUUCCCCUGCCAACCCUGCCCUUUCCUCUCUCACCUCCCCUAGUGUGACCCUUAAUGAACCAUUCCUAGUUCUGUCACUGUGUCAGUGUCUGCCUCCAGGACCAGCUGUCACUCUGCUUGGAGUGUAUACAAUGUGACCCAUGUACAUGACUUUACAAAUAGGCAGAAAGAGCUGUCAUAGUGUGGAAGCAGGUUAUUCUCUGGCAAAGUUCUGCUGAAAGGGGCUCAAAAAAUCCUUCUGGGAUGCUGGGUACAUCCUAUAGGUGGACCUGGGCAUGGUAGUGUUCAUUCAGUCCAUUAUUCUUGGUGAGCCUUGGUGUCUGCCAGUCACAGGGGAGUGGUGAUCAGGGAACCAGGCGCCUGUCCCCAGGAAGUGACCAAUUGCUGAGUGAAGAGGGACUGAACAUGGCUCCAGAAGACCUGUGCUUGGUGCCUCCCCCAGUAGUACCAAGUCCAGGCCAGCUCUGAGGGGGGCUGAUGGAAGCAGUUGUCUUGGUAAAUCCCAUGAGCUCUCAUAAUCCUGCCACAGUUUCCUUAUGAGGAAUGGAUAGUGCAGAGGUGCAUGGUGUCAACUCCCCAAACAGACACACCAAGUCAAGGGAGUUUGGAGAAGGCAGUAUCCGGUGCUCUCCAGCUGCCUCAAUCCAAACAGUUCUGCCCCUGGAGUCUGCAGGACCUUCCCUGCUGCCUGGAGGGGGUGGGGCCAGAUCAACAUCAGCUCUGGGGUCCAGUCUGUUCUACCAGUGGCUCAAGGUCUGACUGCCCACAGGUUGCCCAGGAGUGUCUGGGAACAGCAAUGGUGCAGCUAAUAUCAGCAUGAGCAGCCUCUGCAAAUGUUUGUCAUAUGCUGUCAUCAGAGCCUGGGCCAUACUGUGGCAGGAAGGGGGUGGGUGCUUGGGGAGGUGGUGUCCUGUGGUCCUGGACUGGGCAGGAGCAGAGCAGCCGGCCUGAGAUCCUGGAAGAGACACUGGAAAAGAGACAGGCAUGGAGAGAGAUGGUGAGACAGUGCCUGUGGAGUGGCAAGUCUGAAGGAGUGGCUGGAGGAAGCCGAGGAGGAGGGGCAAGAGGGAGCAAGGAGGUAAGGGGCAGCCGGUGGGGACGUCCACAUGGAGCACCAGCGAUGAGAACAGAGGCCUGUGGCAGAGGGACAAAAAUGUGGGCUGCUUAGCUGGCACCUGCGUAAAGUUGUGUCUGAGCCUUGCAGAGCUGGCUGCUCCCAGGGCACAAGAAACAAAGGAGGGGAGGCCACAAGGGGAUCUAAAAUAGUGCAGUAAGAGAUUUCUGUCUCAAGCCUACUUCCAAAUAGAGAACAGAGGCAUUCUCAUUAGCCUUUAGGAAGAAUUUGUGAGGAUUUGAUGAAGUUCAUGUUAAUAUGUUGAUGGAGAAAUCCUUUGGAAAGAACAAGUAUUUGUGGUGAAAUCGGUAUUUAAAUGCUUCUCUCUGUAAAACUUAAAUGAACCUAUUUUGUCUUUCAAAACAAUAGAGUAAAAUGAUCCUAUUAGCCCAUGAUGGAGCACCCCCACUGGACAAGCUCUUCCAAUGAAAAUGGCUAUAAAAGCUGAAAGAGAACAUAAGCCCUGAGUGGAGGCACCGGAAGAAAACAGUCACACCCUGAGAAAGGGAAGCCCAGGCCACACAGCCUUCUUUCUCCUCUGUGGCAUCUGCCAGGUCCCUAGAUGGGAGACCUGAUUUCAGACAGAAAUGGGAUGUGCUGGGUUGAGGGUAAGGAUGUUGCCAUUUGAUCCUAGCAAAGAUGGGCCUUCUGCUUCCAGGUGGGCUGUUGUAAGUAGGACCAUGGUAUCAGGUAGAAAAAAGGCAACACCACCAAACUUGUAUGUUUGAGAACAUGAGAGAGCUGUGGAGGUGAAGAGGACUGGCUGGACUACAGUGUCAGAGGGAGAAGAGCUGUAGCUCUGUGAAAGGGGGUCACCAGGCCUUCCAUGCUUGGGGGAUUGUCUGUGCACAGAGACAAUCAGGUCUGCCUAGGCAGAGGUAGCCCACCAGGAGAGUAUCAGAGCAGGAGGGCUUUGGGUGUUGGUUGGAGGGAUGGGGUGGGAUCCAGAGGAGUCCCUAGCACAUUAUAGGAUUCCCCUCAGGACAUUAACUCCAUCCUGGGAAAUAAGGGCGAAUGGCCAUGGAAACCACCUGCUGUCCCAGAAGAGCUCUGACUAUAGCGAGAGCCUCCAAGAAACACAGUGGACACGAGAGUACUGGGGGCCAGCGGUGGGCUGACUCUGAGUUGAAACCAACCCCUCCAAUUGGCUCCAUGUCUGAUUGUAAAGAGGUGAAGAGGUAUGUACCUGCCUAAAAGACGGAAGGGCUAAUCUUCUCAGGGAGGCAUCGAAUGAAGUGUCUACUUGUGAGCAGGAUGCUGGCCCUAAAGCCGAUCCCAGCCACAGGGAUGAGAGAAGAGCAGCAACCCACCCUCUGAUAAUAACAAAGUUUACCUUUCAGAAGAUGGGGGAAUUCCCUGCACACAUAUGCUCAUGUUGUCAGCUAGCCAGCCACCAGCCAGCCUGUGUCCCUUUGAUGUCCCUCAUGAGAACAGGCAGAGCACUGUGUCUGCUACAUGAUUAAAGAUAUAAUCCCAUGCAAAGUACAGGGCCUGCGAUCAAUAGUAAAGAACAGAACAACAAACCCUCAUACAGGCCCAUGUGGAACAAGGUAUUGGAGAUGGAUGAAAAGGAAUUUUAAAAUGUGUUAAAGGAAAUGUUUGGAAAUUAAAAGUAGACAAUCAGAGUUGAAGAACUCGAAAGAUGAGUUUGACUGACUUGAUCCCUGAAGGACUUACUGGUAGGCUUGAAUACAAGUAGAAAAAAUCACAAACAAAGUGAAAAAUAUUGGAAAGGACAAAGAAGGUUUACAAGUAAUUAGAAUCAAUGGACUGACAUAGUCACGUGUCUCUCCAGGACUCUGUUUUUCUCCUUGUGAAACACCGAUGAGACUGUCCUCCGUGCUGCUUCCCCGAAGGACAGGGCUGUGCCUCUCCCACUGGGAGCCCUCUGCAUGAGCAUGCGGGUCCAGCCUGCACCCCUCUUGUGGAUGGGGUGGGGAUUUUGAAUGAAAUGUCUCAGAAAUUUAGGAAAGGCUUGAUUCUCAUGUCUCCUCCCUCCUCCUUGAGCUUUGCCUGCUCAGUGCCAUGCCAUUUCCUAGGAGGGGAAGUCAGAGGAAGGAAGGUGAUGUGUGCUAGUUGGCCACACAGCCAUGGCUGUGUUGAGUGGGAUUUCCCGUUAUUUUAAGUGUGAACUUUAUUGUUUCAGGAAGGUACAUUGCUUUCUAUCUCUUUACCAUCACCAGGCCAGGACCUUCUUGUCCUGACCACGUCGUGUCCAUGGCAUCCCCAGUUGUGCCCUGCCUGAUCUCUGUGUUUCCUCCUCUCCCAGAGACUCGGUCAGCAUCACGUCCUGCCCAGCACACUCACUCAUGUGGAGCAGCCUUCAGAAGGCUGUGUAUUAAGAAGGUGAGAGAUGUGCUUUUCUCACUAACUACCAGUUCUCUGGGGGCAGAGAAUUCAGGCAUUAACCAAAGGAGGGCUGCAGUGUUCUUAAGCAUGCGGGGAUCACAGGUGGUAGAGGUGAGUAAGAAAGCAGCAAUGCUCAGUCUCUUGUAGGCUGCAGGCAAACAAGCAGUGAGUUUAAUCCAGUGCUGCAUGUGGUGGGAUUGUUGAGAUGCAGGGGUGUGUAGAGGACAGGAGAGGCAGCCGAGCUUCCAUGGUGCUGGAUUGGAUAGAAGAGCCAGGACUCAGUUACCAUUUUCAUUGUAUCUGGAAUUACAUUUUUCAUAGGUCAUGAGCUAAUUUAUCAAGUACUUUUUGAGGUUACAGACCAUUGGACAUCCUCUGUCUGGAAUCAUUUGUCCUAAUCUAAGUCUCAGCACACAUUUUAUACUUAGAGAUACCUGGGUUGAAGACCACCAUACAGAAAGACCCUGGCACAGCAUUUCCAAUUACAACAACUGUCUCCUUGCCCUCAUUACAACUUACCUAUUUUCUUCACUUUUAACAUCACAAUCUUCAUUUGUUGUAUUUGAUAGUUUCCUUGUUUGAAUGCUUCCCUUCACUAGUUGGGGGCUCUUUGGGUUGGAGCAGGUUGCCAUUUACCAUUUAUCUCCAAGAAUGAGAUCAAGAUCUGGAACAUUGUUAGAUGAAUGAUUGCAUGAUUGAGUGAAUACAGGGAUGUAGAUUCCUCAUGCUAUUCUUAGUAGUAUGUUCCAGUGAUUCCUACACAGCUGGGGGUCACAUUUUCCUGGAGAUUCUGAGAAAUGGUGUGGAGUUAGCACCAAGUGAAGUGUGCACGUAUAUACACACUCAACCCUGCUACAGACAACAUCAAGUAUUCUGCUAUGCCUUUAAAGGCUUUGGGCAAAAAAGUUACCUGUGAAGUCGACUCAGCACUGAGAAAACUCCCAGCUGGCGAAAACAAAGGAAGCUUUUCCACUGGUCCUUGAGGGAGUCUGCAGACAAGUUGAAACCCACAGUCAAAAGUAUUUGAGAAUAUGGUCCAUGUUGCUCCCUCUGGCACUAGCAAUGUGUGCCAGGAUAUUGGAUUACUACGCCCACUGCCCAUCUGGGGGCAUAUGCAGUAAGUUAACCUCAGAUGUAUAGGUCCCUCCAGGCUUGCACUCUGAUCCUCUCAUGUAUAUGACGACAAACACAUUAUGGCAACUUUUAAAAUACGCUCUGCUGAUCAAGAGGGUAACACUAGAGAACCUGUCUAGUGUGGAGACAGUUCUGUGUCUUCUAACCUUAAUAAAAAUGUUUCAUUGUAACAAAGAAGGAAUGAUAAAUUUUUAAAAAUAGUGUAGAUGUGUCACUUUUUAAUUUCACCCAAAUGUUUUGUUGGGUAAACACAAUGAUCUGUUGCUUAGCCUGUGGAAAGGAGUUAUAAGACCAGUGCUUAGGGACUACAAAUUAUGCAAAUACACUAAUAAACUCUGUUUCACCCAACACUGAGAAACAUUUUUGUUGUUGUGACUCCCAGGCCCUGGCACUAAGACCUGACCCAGUAGCGAGAACCAGCUUGGCUGGACCAAGCGCCUACAGCGGCACCCGGAGAGGGCCCACACAGCAUUGAGCAUUGCAGGGAUUCCCCGGAUGGCCAGGAGGGGGCGCACGGUCACCACUCACUGGGAGUCGGCCGGUUGUGGUCGUGCGCAGCGGCGGCCUGCAAGGAGUGCCAGCACGCGGCAUUUCUGACCAAGUGGCACCUCAAAACCCAGAGAGCGCCUGCGUUCCAGCCCAAAGGGCCUGGUGGCAGUUUCAGCCGUCAGAUCAGCAGCUGCAUAUGCAGCAGGUUUCAUCGCCUGUGGGAGACACUGCAGACCCUUUGGACCAACUUGGCGUCUCCCAACCGGGGAAUUCAGGAUUGUUUCUGCACAGGAAUUCAGCACAAAUGUAGAGAAAACACGGAUUCAGUUGGGACCAGAAUACAGCUGGGGACCCAUUUCUCAAGCCCUGUUGGAAUCAGAGUCUGAAGUAAAAAGGAAAAAUGCACUCCAGUUCAUACAUGCUUUUUAUUAACUCUUAAUGGUUGAUCUUUCCAACAAUGUGGAAGUCGUCAAAAAAAUACUGAAGACCUGACAAUUAUUUUUUUUUAAGAAAUACUCCAAACUGAAAGGCUUUUGGCGACUCCAAAGGAGGACUAUGGCUGGCACAUAAAUUGUGUCUUUCCAGUUUACGCUUCAUGAAGACCCAGGAACUCUCUGGAGGAUGAUGGGGGAUCUCCUGGUAACCAAGACUUGAGUCCUACUUCUAACAACCACUUGUGUAACAUUACAUUUUUUCAAUCUGCCAUGAAAUAUUUCUGUGAAAUAACUUUUAAAGUAUUAAGAAUUUACUGGCACUAACUGAGGCUUGUUAUAUUUUUAAUUCAAAUUUGAAUCAGAAUCCAAGAAGGAAGUUUUUUUUUUUUGGUGGGAAGUCAUUUUGAAAACCAAUAUAGUAGUAUGAAUGCAUUUAAAACAUUGUGGCUUUUAUUGGUUUCAUGGGUAUGAAAGAAGGGCACUGGGCUGAAAUGAAAGGUUUGAUUUAUAGGCUGGUUCUAUUUAUUACCUUUAUGUAAAGCCUUCUAUAAGCCAUUAUCACCUACUGUUUUUGACCAGAAGUAUGGCCAGUACAGUAGCUAUUAGCCACGUGCAAUUACUGAAAGGUAGCUCUCUGAUCAGAGCUGUGCUGUUAAGUGUAAAAUAUACCCCAGCUUUUUAGCACUUUGUAUGAAAAAUGUAAAAUGCCCUAAUAGUUUUAAUAUUACAUGUUGAAAUAUUUUCAUUUGUACAU